AAAAAAAAGAUUAGACUGUUCACAAAAAUGUUUAGACGUUUAAUUUAUAAUCAUAUUUCAAGUUAAUAAAAUUCUCCUCACUUUAACAUUAGACCUAAUACAAAUUUACAGCGAAAGCCAAUUAUUUUUAUUAGAGUCUAGAAUAACAAAAAAAGCACAUAACAAAUUGUAUAAGCCAGGGGUUGGCAACAUUUUGAGACGGAAGAGCUGAAAGUUCACAAUUUUGAAUUUGUUAUUUAGGUGCCCCAAGAUGACCUAACGGUCUUGUCAUAGAGCACCGCGAAAGUGCAUUUAACCAGGAAGUUCACGCCUCCUUCCUUACCGUGACGCAAAAUAGGUCCAAAGCUCGUUUCAAACCUGGAUCUCCUGCUUAUAAAACAAGCGCUCUAGUCACUGGGCCACAGCUGUACAAAUAUUUAAGGACGCAGAGUCCCGAUAAACCUCUGGAUUUGAAUGUCUCGAAAAGAUUACUUCUUCCUAGUUUUUGGUAUUCAGGAGCUCCAAUAAUAUAAAAACGCUUAUAGACUACUAUUGGUAAAAAAGUUAAGACUUUUAUGUUAGAGAAACAAUAUCUGUAGGUCGAAAUAAACUUAUUGUGCAAAAAUAAACGAAAUUACAUCAUAUUUAGAGGCCCCCCGACUAUGACAACUUUCUCUACUACAGACCAUGAAAACUCAUUUCCCACCCAUUACUUGUUUAUUAAAAUAUACUUACUACGGCUCUAUUUGCGUGAAUAAAUAAUAGUUGUUCUUUGUUGGCCAUAUUUGUUUUUAGAUGUUUUUAGAUAAAUAAAUGUUGUCUGCAAGUUUCUGAAAGUUUAGACUAAUCAAAAAGCAAGUUAAAAGCCUGCCAAUACAAGAUUUGGAGUGAAGUAUAGAUGAAAAGAUGGAGGCUGAGGCGACAGAAAUAAGUCCCACUGCAACAUCUUCCAAGGACAAGCAAGUAAUGCUGCUGCAAUCUGGUUCAUCGAAUGACUCUGGAUCAACUUUUCAAGAAACAACUCUCUCGGUAUUUAAGAAGAAACGGCGGACUUACCAAUUUACCGAGUUGUUUGAUUUUGGGCUUGCUAUUUGCAAAACUGAUUCAUCUAUCACUGGCUGCCCAACUGCUUGCAUGUCUUGAGGUGCCCGAAGAUAACUUCAAAAGAGUCUUGUAACAGAGCACCGCGGAAGUGUGGUUAACCAGGAAGUUCACGCCUUCUUCCUUACCGUGACGCGAAAAUAUGUCCAAGGCUUGUUUCAAACCUGCAUUAAGAUAAAAUAACAUAAAAUAAAAACAACAUUUUACAAAAUGCAAACACCUUUGUUUAUGGGAUUCGGAGGCAGAAGAUUUGAAGGCAAUAGGUUUGGAGGCAACUGGUACACCACCAAAAACAUUGUAAAUAAUUUUAUUUAUAGACAACUAGCUGGAAGUUUAAGAAAUUUUAAAAAAAAUUUAAGCAAUAUCUUAACAAAAACUAGUAUAAAACAGAAUCAUGUUUACUUAGCUGGUGACCUUAACUUAAAUUUGUUGAAAAAUAUUUUUAAUAAAAAUGUCAGAUGCAUUUUAAAUACUCUAAUCCAGUAUAACCGAAUUCCUACAAUAAAUAAAUCAACAAGAAUUACUGACAACUCUUCAACAUUACUCAACAGUAUAGUUACUAAUAGCUUACUUAACUGCCAUAUAGGAACGGGAAAAAUAAAAACGAGUCUAACAGUUCACUUUCCAGUAUUCUUAAUUAAUGAUGACAAUUCUAAAUAAUUGUCCCACAAACUUCACUAUCUUAACUUGAUAGAUCAAUGAAAACACUUUAUUAUAUUUUUGAAUUAUUUUGAAAAAAAAAGUUGCUGUUUGUAAAUUAUUUUUAGCGAAAUUCUGUAAAGACUAUGAU